UACGUAGGGGGCAAGCGUUGUCCGGAAUCAUUGGGCGUAAAGAGCGUGUAGGCGGCCAGGUAGGUCUGCUGUGAAAACUCGAGGCUCAACCUCGAGAUGUCGGCGGAAACCAUCUGGCUAGAGUCCGGAAGAGGAGAAUGGAAUUCCCGGUGUAGCGGUGAAAUGCGUAGAGAUCCGGAGGAACACCAGUGGCGAAGGCGACACGCUGGGCCGUACCUGACACUGAUGCGCGACAGCAGUGGGGAGCAAACGA
rnacentral:rRNA from 1 species